AACUGGAGCAAUCAGGGCACCGCAGCGAGGGAGAUGCUGGCGAGACGACAGCGAGAUCCUCUCCAGGCCCUGCGGCGCCGCAAUCAGGAGCUGAAGCAACAGGUUGAUAGUUUGCUUUCUGAGAGUCAACUGAAAGAAGCUCUAGAACCCAAUAAAAGACAAGAUAUUUAUCAAAGAUGUAUCCAGUUAAAGCAGGCAAUAGAUGAAAAUAAAAAUGCUCUUCAAAAAUUAAGCAAAGCGGAUGAAUCUGCACCUGUUGCAAACUACAAUCAGAGAAAAGAAGAGGAGCAUACUCUUUUGGACAAGCUUACCCAACAACUGCAGGGCCUUGCUGUGACAAUAAGCAGAGAAAAUAUAACUGAAGUUGGGGCACCUACUGAAGAAGAGGAAGAAAGUGAAAGUGAAGAUAGUGAAGACAGUGGUGAGGAGGAAGAAGAUGCAGAGGAGGAAGAGGAAGAGAAAGAGGAAAAUGAAUCUCACAAACAGUCAACCAGUGAAGAAUACAUCGCUGUUGGAGAUUUUACUGCUCAGCAAGUUGGAGAUCUUACAUUUAAGAAAGGGGAAAUUCUCCUUGUAAUUGAAAAAAAACCUGAUGGUUGGUGGAUAGCUAAGGAUGCCAAAGGAAAUGAAGGUCUUGUUCCCAGAACCUACCUAGAGCCUUAUAGUGAAGAAGAAGAAGGCCAAGAAUCAAGUGAAGAGGGCAGUGAAGAAGAUGUAGAGGUGGUAGAUGAAACAGCAGAUGGAGCAGAAGUUAAGCAAAGAACUGAUUCCCACUGGAGUGCUGUUCAAAAAGCGAUCUCAGAGGUGGGUAUCUUCUGUCUUAUUAAUGAUGUCUUGUUUUGUUACCUAAUAGCUCUGAUGCGAAACAGGAUGGAGACUGUGGAAGAUAGCAGUGGAUCUGAAACAGGGUUCAGGGCAUGGAAUGUACAGAGCAGAGGAUGUAUAUUUCUGGUUUCUAAGCCUGUGCUCCAAGUAACAUUUCUCAUUAGUUUUUUUUUUGUACAAAAAGAAUAGAUAAUCUUAUUCAUGGUGUCACUUGAGGGCUUGGAAACAUUCUCAUUGAUCCUGCUUUCCUAUCAUUUGAGUGGAAACAGAUGUUAAAUUUUAAUUACUAUUCGAAAAAUCCUGAAAGGCUUUAAUAAAAAGUAAGAAAUCGGCCAGGCGUAGUGACUCAUACUGGUAAUCCCAACAUUUUGGGAAGCUGAAGCAGGAGGAUCACUUGAGGCCAGGAAUUCAAGACCAGCUUAAGCAACACAGUGAGACCCUAUCCUACAAAAAAUAAGAAAAAUUAGCCAGGUUUGAUGGCUCAUGCCUGUAGUCCCAGCUACUCGGGAGGCUGAGGUGGGAAGAUUGCAUGAGCUUGGGAAGUCAAGGCUGUAGUGAGCUCUGAUUGUGCCACUGCACUCCAGAGCAUGAGUGACAGGGCAAGACUGUGUCUUAAAAAAAAAAAAAAGUAAUUAAUUAAAUUUUUUUAAAGGAAGAAAUGAUCCAUAAUUCUGUCAUUAAAAAAAAAUUACAGGCCAGGCACAGUGGCUCACACCUGUAAUCCCAGCACUUGGGAGGCCAAGGCAGGUGGAUCACCUGGGGUCAAGAGUUCAAGACUAGCCUGGUCAACACAGCAAAACCUCACCUCGACUAAAAAUACAAAAAUUAACUGGGCAUGUCUGUAGUCCCAGCUCCUGGGGAGGCUGAGGCAGGAGAAUUGCUUGAACCUAGGAGGCGGAGGUUGCAGUGAGCUGAGAAUACGCCACUGUACUCCAGCCUGGGCGACAGAGCUAGACUCCGUCUCACAAAACAAAAAAACUAUUACAUAGCCAAAUGAAAAUUCUCCUCCUCAAACUCAUAAGUAAUCACCAUUAACAAUUUAGUAAGUAUCCUUCCUGACCUUUUUAUUUAUUUAUUACUUAUAAGUACAUGCUUGUAUGUGUGAGGGUGUGUGUCUAUGAGUUGUGUGUAUGUGUAUACAAAAAAAAUCCAUUAAUUCUUCAGUGCAUAUGAUUUGCCAAUAGACAUUAACUUACCUGUGAAAUGGAAGCGCAGGGUGGAGCAGGACAGGAGCAGGGACAUUUUGAUAAGGGUGUACUUGAAGCAGCUGCUCCGGAACACACAGUUCUGCGCGCUGGGCACUGUAUGGGGCUUAGGUCCUUAGGGGAGGCCAGGGUGCUGUGAUGGCAUCCUCUCAGGAAUUUGGGGCCAAAUCGUAUUAUUCUUCCACUAAAGUCUGUAUGUUUAUGUUUUUCUUUUUUGGGUUAUAGUUACUCUAGUGAUAAAGAGAAAGUAUUAUAGAGUUGCAGAAACAUGACUGAAAACAAAUCCAUUUUGAUGUUACUGUCUUCAGCAGAUAAACACUGUUGAUGUGUUAACCACGAUGGGAGCUAUUCCUGCAGGGUUCAGGCCUUCCACACUCUCACAGCUUCUGGAGGAAGGGAAUCAAUUUCGAGCAAGUUACUUCUUACAGCCAGAGCUCAUGCCUUCACAACUGGCCUUCAGAGAUCUGAUGUGGGAUGCUACAGAAGGCACUAUUAGGUCGAGACCAAGUCGUAUUUCAUUGAUUCUGACAUUAUGGAGCUGUAAAAUGAUUCCUCUUCCAGGAAUGAGCAUACAGGUUCUCAGCAGACAUGUACGCCUCUGUCUAUUUGAUGGUAAUAAGGUUCUGAGCAACAUUCAUACAGUCAGAGCCACAUGGCAAUCUAAAAAGCCCAAAACAUGGACCUUUUCUCCCCAGGUUACUCGCAUCUUGCCAUGUUUGUUUGAUGGUGAUUGCUUUAUCAGGUCUAAUUCUGCGUCUCCAGAUCUUGGAAUAUUAUUUGAACUUGGAAUUUCUUAUAUUCGCAAUUCAACUGGUGAAAGAGGAGAGUUAAGCUGUGGCUGGGUGUUUCUUAAACUUUUUGAUGCCAGUGGAGUUCCUAUUCCAGCAAAAACUUAUGAGCUUUUCUUGAAUGGUGGUACUCCUUAUGAAAAAGGUAUUGAAGUGGACCCUUCAAUAUCCAGAAGAGCACACGGCAGUGUUUUCUACCAGAUGAUGACAAUGAGAAGGCAGCCUCAACUUCUAGUAAAACUGAGAUCCUUGAACAGAAGAUCAAGAAAUGUACUAAGUCUACUGCCAGAAACUUUAAUUGGAAGUAUGUGUUCUAUUCACUUGUUGAUAUUUUAUCGACAAAUUCUUGGAGAUGUGCUCCUGAAAGACAGGAUGAGCUUGCAAAGUACUGAUUUAAUUAGCCAUCCCAUGCUGGCCACCUUCCCCAUGCUCUUGGAGCAGCCUGAUGUGAUGGAUGCCCUCAGGAGUUCAUGGGCUGAAAAAGAAAGUACAUUAAAAAGAUCAGAGAAGAGAGACAAAGAGUUCCUGAAGUCCACGUUCCUCCUGGUUUACCAUGACUGCGUGCUCCCACUUCUCCACUCCACACGCCUACCCCCAUUCAGGUGGGCAGAAGAAGAGACUGAGACUGCACGAUGGAAAGUUAUCACUGACUUCCUUAAGCAAAACCAAGAAAACCAGGGCGCCCUCCAAGCUCUGCUGUCACCAGACGGAGUUCAUGAACCUUUUGACCUUUCAGAGCAGACCUAUGACUUCUUGGGUGAAAUGAGAAAGAAUGCAGUGUGACAGUGGCAGCCUCUAGCCCUCAGCUUCCCACGGAAUCAGAUGGAUCCUCCACGAUUACGUGAAUAAAAUGAUGGAACCAAAAAUCACUGUCACUUUACAACUUAGGUUUUAUUAUUUUCUUUCUACAGACCAUAUUUUUAAAGAAAUGUUUAUACAAUAAUUUAAAUAUUUUUUAAAACCACAAAAUAAAUUUUUGUAAGGAA
rnacentral:sRNA from 1 species